ensembl:rRNA 5S_rRNA 5S ribosomal RNA
AUUUACAGCCAUACUACUCCAAUCCAAGAAGCUAUGCAGGGUCGGGCCUGGUAAGGACUUAAAUGGGAGACUGCCUGGGAAUACUGAAAGUGGUGGCCU